rnacentral:lncRNA from 1 species
UCCCAUAUGCCUCUGUUGUUGGUAGAGAGUCUGCAGCAGAGGACAAGAAGGUAGAUGUGGGUGUUUAUAACAACAAAAAGGGCAAGCAAGUCUCUCUGAACCUGUUGUAUGAAGCUUAUCGAGACAGACACCACUGCUUUUGCUUCCCCAUAGUUUUCUUCAUUGCAUGAUAACUAACUUUUCCAAACUAGGAUUUGCUACAUCUAGUGUGACAAUCUCUGGAACAUUUCAGUAGCUUAUGGUGAUAAUAAUAAGGAUGAAUAUUUGAAAAUUAAACUAUUUUGGAAAAUCUGGGACAUAUGACUACCAGGGAGGCAGAGUUCUUAGGCCUCUGAGGAGGUGGCAUUUCCUUCAAUAACUUUAAAAUUUUUUCACAUUUUCGGUUUUUUUUUGUUUGUUUUUUGUUUUUUUGAGAUGGAGUCUCGCUCUGUCGCCCAGGCUGGAGUGCGUGGUGCAUCUCCGCUUACUGCAAGCUCCGCCUCCCAGGUUCACGCCAUUCUCCUGCCUCAGCCUAUUUUUACAGCUUGUUUCAGUCAGG